rnacentral:rRNA from 1 species
UACGGAGGGGGCUAGCGUUAUCCGGAAUUAUUGGGCGUAAAGAGCUCGUAGGCGGUUUGUCGCGUCUGCCGUGAAAGUCCGGGGCUCAACUCCGGAUCUGCGGUGGGUACGGGCAGACUAGAGUGAUGUAGGGGAGACUGGAAUUCCUGGUGUAGCGGUGAAAUGCGCAGAUAUCAGGAGGAACACCGAUGGCGAAGGCAGGUCUCUGGGCAUUAACUGACGCUGAGGAGCGAAAGCAUGGGGGAGCGAACAGG